rnacentral:tRNA from 1 species
GCGAAAGUAGUUUAUUAAAAAUAUAAAGUUGUCGUCUUUAAGAAGCUUAUAUGUGAGUCUUUUGUU